UACGUAGGGGGCAAGCGUUGUCCGGAUUUAUUGGGCGUAAAGAGCGUGUAGGCGGUUCGGUAGGUCCGUUGUGAAAACUCGAGGCUCAACCUCGAGACGCCGAUGGAAACCAUCGAACUAGAGUCCGGAAGAGGAGAGUGGAAUUCCUGGUGUAGCGGUGAAAUGCGCAGAUAUCAGGAAGAACACCCGUGGCUAAGGCGGCUCUCUAGUACGGUACUGACGCUGAGACGCGAAAGCGUGGGGAGCGAACAGGG
rnacentral:rRNA from 1 species